CAGCCUUUGAUAAAAUGAAUUAUUAGAUGUAAUCUGCCUGUUUCUGACAUCUCCGCACACACCACAAGUGCAGGUGGCAGUGAUCCUGUUUUCAAACCACAUGGCAAACCUAUUUUAAACUUGAAAAUAAUACACACAAUCUCCUAUGUUAGAGUGCUUACCUGGAGGAUGCUCAC